rnacentral:lncRNA from 1 species
UUGGAUUCCUUUUAAGAAAACAAAUACAGGGAAAAAAAAGAAAAAAAAAGAGAACAUUAAUAGCUUACAGGAAGGAGGAGAUUCAAACUCCAGUGAAAAGCACGAUUAAAUAAAGCUAGUGUUCAUCAUCAAUGAGGAAGGACAAAUUCACUGCGUAUGCAAAACACACUGUGGUCUUAGCAAGACUUUCCAUGUGGAACUGCAGGUCAGAAGCAGAUGCAGCACAUUUCAGAAGACUCAAAUUUUAUCAAGGAAUAAUCGCCAAAUCUUAUCAGCUCAAGAUAUUACCAGUUCAGUAA